AUUCCAGUGGGUUUCUUUACCUCCAUCUUUUUUCUCAUGUUCUCCGCAAAUCAAGUUUCUCGUGGCGGUUUAUUCCCUUGUCAGUUCACCCCACUCUCCUUCUUUUUCUCCUCCUAAAUUCUUGGAACUACAACUUCAUAUGCCACUAUCUUGCUUUUGGAUUGAAGAAGACAGAAGCUCCCUCUGAAAUGCAACGGAAGAGCAUGUACGUCCUCUUUCCCGAUCCCUACAUCGGAUAUACUAAACCUCUUUAGCAGUUUAGUGAUGGUUGUGGAAUUCAGACUUCUUGCAGCAUCCUCAUUUCUCCCAAACAUGAAUGUUGGCAUGGCUUCUUCUCUCUAACUCAACCUUUUUCUCGUAUGGCUAAGGAUCUGAAGGUUAAAUUUAACAGGUAAUGCCCGUUACUAAUGUGAAAUUGGGAUUUUAGGGUUCAUCUUUGGUUUAUUAUUUGUUCUGGUCAAUUGCAAUUUUUAUCUUCUCAAUGAGAACCCCAUAAAUAAACGUUUGUGGAGGAACCUCCCCGUUUCUUUUGACCUCCAAUGUCGGAAGUGACGAUCACGAUUAUCGGUUAGCCAUUGCCGACCUCAAAAUUUUCCCCUUUCCACCGUUGCGAGACCCAAAGAUGUCCAUUUCUCAUAUGCAGCCAUAUGAUGAUGGUGGCUGGUGGUAGGCACAAAUUUGUGACUGUUUUUAUUCAACAUCUAAGAGUGUUCGACCAAAAAGAUACUCUGUGGAAUUUUGAUUGAAAUCAGUCGUUGAAUAAGGCAUCCGUAGAUAUUAUUGGAGCCGAUAACCAAUUCUUUGAAUCAAUCUAAGAUUUCACGAAAGGAGUAAAGAUGCACCGGCGAUUGCUGUUGAUAACAAUGGCGAGUCAUAUAUGCUCAGAUUGCAACAGAUGUAGCUGCUCGAGGGCUGGAUAUUCAUGAUGCCGAAGUUGUAAUAUCUUACAGCUUCCCCACGGUUUACAUUUAUAAUCUGUAGUUAGCCUCCUGAGCACUUGCAUCAUCUUCUAAAGAUACUUCAGUUGAAAGGGGUAUAGUUGAAGAGCGGGUCGAAACAUGUUCGGGGCUCAAGUUGAUGUGGCACGACUCGAGGAUGAGUUGGCAACAACUAUGGAUAAUCUUUCUUGCAUUACUCACAAGAUGAAAGAUAUUGACAUCAACUAUUGGAGGAUGGUUUGAAAUUUGUUUUAAAAGUUGGUGUUGUAAUGAUUAGUGUGCUGAAGUUGAAAGUGUAUCUCAAAGAGGGAAAGAGCUGGAUGUAGAAUGACUCGAGGGAAUGAAAACAAGGAUGGACUUUUCUUGGGACUUCUUAGGGAUUACUAUCCGCAUACUGAUGCUGCAUGUAUGAAUCGAUUAUCAAAAUUAAGAGUGUUGGGCCAUCAAAAAGGCACAGACGCGCAAGAUGGAAGUUGCAGAGAUGAGGAUGCUGGGGUGGAUGUGUGGAUACAUAAGACUAGAUCGGAUAAGAAAUGAGGUUUUCAGGGAAAAGGUAGGAGUAGCUAGUAUAUCAGAGAAGAUUAAAGAAGGGAGAUUGAGAUGGUUUGGGCAUGUGAAGAUAAGGCAGACUACAACGCCAGUUAGAGCAUUGGAAAACUUCAUUGUGGAGGGGAGAAGAAGUAGAGGCAGGCCUAAAUUAACUUGGGAGGAGCGAAUUAGACAUAAUUUGAUAGAGUUGUAUCUAUCUGAGGACAAGAUCAAGGAUAGGGAUUAGUGGAGACAUAGGAUAAAGGUAAAUGACUAUUAAGGGAUGACGUAUAGGUAGCCUAGUUUUUGGUUAGGGGGGGGGGGGGGAUUUAGCAUAUGAUUGUCUUUAGGUGACAUGUGCAUUGGUUAUUUUAUGAAGCUAUAAAUGUUUAUGUAGUAUAUGCUCACUCCUAUUGAUAUUUGAUAGUUUUAUUUCACUAUGGUACCUGUCUUUUCGGCUUC